rnacentral:tRNA from 1 species
GCGUCUGUAGCUCAGUUGGUUAGAGCACCACCUUGACAUGGUGGGGGUCGUUGGCUCGAGUCCACUCGAACGCACCA